CGGGGUGUAGCGCAGUCUGGUCAGCGCGCGUCGUUCGGGACGACGAGGCCGGGAGUUCAAAUCUCCCCACCCCGACAA
rnacentral:tRNA from 1 species